rnacentral:RNase_P_RNA from 1 species
CAGUCGGAUAAUCGCGCGGGGUAAAUUAUUAUUCUGUGAGGAAAGUCCGUGCAUCCAAGGACAGAUUGCCGGAGAAACUCCGGACGGCGUGAGCCGGUGGAAAGUGCCACAGAAAGAUACAGCCGAUGGAUUUUAUAUUACAGGCGAAGGUGCAAUGGCGAGGUAAGAGCUCACCGUCGAUACUGAGAGGUAUCGGUUCAGGUAAACCCCAAUCGGAUGCAAGAUUGAAUCAAGCGCUUGAGGUGUCCGCCGAGCUUGGAAAAAUCGCUAGAGAUUAGGAGUAAUCCUAAUACCAGAUAGAUGAUUAUUUAAAACAGAACACGGCUUACGGACUGCUUUU